rnacentral:rRNA from 1 species
UACGUAGGGAGCAAGCGUUGUCCGGAUUCAUUGGGCGUAAAGAGCUCGUAGGCGGCUUGGCAAGUCGGGUGUGAAAACUCCAGGCUCAACCUGGAGACGCCACCCGAUACUGCCAUGGCUAGAGUCCGGUAGGGGACCACGGAAUUCCUGGUGUAGCGGUGAAAUGCGCAGAUAUCAGGAGGAACACCGGUGGCGAAGGCGGUGGUCUGGGCCGGAACUGACGCUGAGGAGCGAAAGCGUGGGGAGCGAACAGG